rnacentral:lncRNA from 1 species
AGGAUCUUGAUAUCGGUAGGCCUAUGAGUGGGUCUCCUUGAAAGAUUUUGAGAGAACUUUUGUGAGAGUAGCUUCUAAUUGAGAGAGGUUUGUGUAUGGAGAGUUGAGAGUGCGAGGAUCUCCUCUUGUACUUAUUUUCUCUUUCAUAGUGAGGCUUGCAUACCCCGUGGAGGUUACACUUGGGCUAUUCCAUGUUCUUGAUUGCAUGUUCCUAUUUUAUUUCUUCUUUCUUUCUAUCACAAUGGAUGGUAUC